rnacentral:sRNA from 1 species
AUAUUGCGUGAGGGAUAGUAGCGGCAUCCUUUUGUUUUCUAUAUUUUGCAAUCCAAGUUGUUUGCUCUAAUGCAUAUAUUGGGGUUUAAAACUGUUUAAAGGCUUUUUUAUAAACAAAAGAUAUAGCAGAUAGCUCGACCCGAA